rnacentral:lncRNA from 1 species
AGAGAGAGAGAGAGAGAGAGAGAGAGAGGUCAGGGGAGAUAGAGAGAGGGAGAGAGAGAGAGAGAGAAUUUAUAAUUUUAAUUUUAAAUUUAUAUAUAAAUUUUAAAUUUUAAAUCUUAAAUUUAAUUUUAACUUUAUAUAUAUAUAUAUAUAUAUAUAUAUAUAUAUAAAUAUAUAUAUAAUAUAUAUAUAUAACUAAUUUUAUUUAUAAAUAUAUAUUUAUUUAUUAUAUACAAUUUUAUAUUUAAUUUUUCUUUUAUGUUUAACAUUUUAACUUAGAUCUUAAAAUAAAAAAUUAAAAAGAUUUCUUCAAAAAUAUUUUAAAAUUAUCCAAAUUUUCCGCUGCGGAGCGCGGCCUUCACUAGUUUCUAGACAAAGUUUAAAUUAUAUUUUCAUGUUCCUUUUCUUUAUAAGAUUAAUAUGUACUAAAAAAAAAUAAAAUCAAUAAAUUUUAUUUUAAGCCAUUAUAUUUUAAUAUGGCUAAUAAAAUAAUUCAGCCGGUUUGAUUAAAAUCGAAUCAUUUUACCGUUUAAUGAUUAAAUCACUACUUCAACAAUUCAAAGCAGUUUUUUGACUUUUGGGUUCCAAGAGUUAAAGCGAACUGUGUUAUAAAUUGGGUCUCGGACUUUGUCGAAAUGCGAGUUCAAAUAAAGACUUUCAUCAAUUUAUAUAUAUAUAUAUAUAAUAUAUAUAUUAUAUAUAUAUAUAUUAUAUAAUAUAAUAUAUAUAUAUAUAUAGAUAUAUAUUAUAAUGAUGCAAAGAGAAAAAUAAAACAUUGGGGUAAAAAAGUUGAGGGAGGUGGAAUAUUUGAUAGAAGCAAAACUAAAAUCAUUCUAUUUAAGAGAAAAUUUGUUUUCAAUUUUUGCCGUCAAAAUAAAAAAAACUUUUAAGAUGCAUAGACUACAAUCACCCUAAAACCAUCAAUCCACACAUCCACACAUUCUAGCUAGUACAUAGAAUUUAUGUUUGAAAAAAAAAAAACAAUAAUACCAAAUGAUUAUCUAUAAUAGGAUUUCUUUAUCUACAUCUCCAAAUUAAAAUCUAAUUAAGUAUGCGAAUAUCUAGAAAUGAGCCCGUUUUUUAUACUUUUAGAAGCACGAUGACCUCUGUGUAAUCAAGUCGUUAAUGGAUGGUGAAACUUCCGAAUCGACGAUCGCCUCAAUUAGACUUGAUCUAAAGUAUUUGAAAUACCUAAAAAUAAAUUUUAUAAUUUUUCGAUAUCAUUUACUUAGUGAUCGAAAGGACUCAAAAUCAAUAGGACAUUGAUAUGGCUUUAUGCAGUACAAAGAAUUUUUUAUCAAAAUUUUAUAAGAUUUGAAUAUUUCUACGCCGUUGAACUUACAAACGACUCAUCGCGACUAUUAAAAUUGUUAAUUUUGGGCCCUUUCGAGAAAUCAUAAAAUUUAUCUUUUAGAUACUACAAAUACUAUAGAUCUAAAUCUAACGGUGCCAAUCGUCGAUUGCAAUAUCAAAAACGACUCGAUAAUACCCGUGCUUCUAAAAACAUAAUACAAACCUAGCUAUCUAGAUAUUAUUAAUAAGCAUUACAUAUCAACUAUCUUUCAUAAGAUUGCGAGAUUACAAUCUUAAUGUGCGGAAAAGACCGGUGCAGUUGCUACAUUCUCUGAAAAAUUUCUUCUGGAAAAAAAAAUUGUUUGGCUAUCCAGGGAGAUGGUUAUUUUCCGCAACGAAAUUGCCAUUCGGAAUAAGAACUCCAAGAUGUCAUAUUCAUAUCUUUUUCCCAUAAAAUUAUGGAUCGAUAUCCGGACCAAUUUCUCAAGACAGAAGUUGUGAGAAUCCCAGUAUUCUCCUUUGCCAAAUCCGCCGAUGUAGUUGUAAAAAUCCUCGGAUUGAGACUAGAGAAAAAAACAUAUAUGAGAAUAGAGGACGAAAAGAAAAUGAUGAAAAUGCGGAGAUCUUAGGAUAUGUUUUAUAAGAAAAAAUAAUUUUUAAUAUAUUUUUAUCAUUUUCGAGAGUACGAACAAUAUAAAUAUUUAUAGAGAAAAUUUUAUGUAUUUUAGUCUAAUUUUGAUUUACUUAUUGAAUCUUUGGUACAUCCUCCGCUGAGAGAAACACGCAGUGUCUCGAUCUUAGAGAAUAUCUCGAGCAAAAAGGUAACAUCCAGUGAGCUAAAUCCUCCAAAUUAAGUAGACAGUCAACUCUUCUCAUAUUCCUGAUCUAGUGGAUUAUUUACCUCAUUGCGCCGAUCAAAAACUAACUUGUCCAAGACCUGUAAUAUUAUUUAAUUCGGCAUAUCAUUUCAGAAUAAGAAUAAAAAGGUUUAUAAAUAGUGUUUGUUAAAUAUAAAAAUAUAAAAAAUAUAGUUCUCGUGUUUUAACGAGCUAUUACGUCUCUGCCUUCUCAUCCUCCUCCUUGUAGUUAUGCAGCCUUCUUCUCUUUCUUCCCGAUUCAUCUUCCAUCCUAAUAAUCGUAUAACAUAUCCAUAUUAUAUAUGUAUAUAUAAGAGAAAAUAUACUCUAUUUUUUUUUAAUCUUUUUUAGUUAAUAAGACCAAAAUAAUUAUGCAAUGAUUAAAGAAAUAUAUUUGUUGAUGAUAAAAUAUUUUAAAAAAUUACCAAAAUAAUUUGUUUAUAAAAGAGCUAAAAUUUAGGGAUUUCGCCGCAUUUUUUUUUAAAAUAAAACGGUGACUCAUAAAUCGUAAUCAGAGGAAGAGAUAAACUGAUUUGGUUAGACUCGAUUGAGGAUUGUCGUAAGGAUUGAGAUUUUGACAGUACAAUUAGACUCUCUGUUGACGAUGUUUAUAUGUGUAAUUUAAUUACAUAAGCACUCGUCAAAUUUCAAGCGAAAAUGAGCUAAAACGGAGAAGUUACGCGAUUAUUAGUUUUCACUUAAGUGAAUAGUAACUCCGGUUUCCCGGAGAAGCCACGGAGUAGAGUUGGCUUUCGGCGCGUAUCGGACUCCGUUCAUAGCGAUCCAAUAGCUCGUUUCGAUCGGUUCAGCUAUUCUGGAACCAAUGGCACUGACGGAUUUCAGAUCCGAUGCACGAUUUUCGAUAAAAAGGGAUUUUAUCAAAAAGAGGGUUUCCGAUCUUUGCUAUUCGUGCAUUUUGAAACUCCUCGUGCUUUGUACAAGUGAUCUGGAGAUGGGUGAGAGAUGUUUCAAGUACCUACUGGUGGUAGGGAAUUCAAAUACGAGUUUGAAUUAACGGAUUUCGGGUUUCAACCUAGGCCUAUAUAUGAUAUGUGGAUUAGUUGGAGAGAGGGCAGGUUUUGUCGCUGAUCGGAGACCAAAUCAGACGAAACAAAAUGCUAGGUUCGAUGCACCCGACAUGCUGAACGCAAUGGUGCUGUUGGAUCGAAAAUCCGACGAACGGAUUUUCAGGAAACGCGAAAUGUUCGCUGAGGGGUCGAAUUGGCAAAGUCGGAAACUUCGCAAAAGUUGCGAUAUUUUAUGUACCGAAUCGCGUGAAACCGGACGUGGAGGGGUAUCCGCGCGAUUUACUCACGCUGUGAGGGACUCGGAUAGAAUUGUUGAGUCUUGGAGGACUAUUUUGCAAAUUGGACCUAUGUAAAUAGUAGUUACACUAGGGUUUCAUGAGGAAACCCUAGCUUUUGGCCUUCUCCUUAGCCGAACCUAACCCUAGCCGCCCCACCUGCAAUUCUGCCCUCCCCGUGCGUAUGCUCCGGCCGCCGGCGAUCACCUCCGGCAGCCGGAAUUCCCUACACCACCUCUCUCUCUCCCUCUCAGCCAACCACUCCCCCCGCAUCGUGGUUACGAACCCAGGAAGUCACCUAGGUCCGAGCACCAUCAUCCCCUGGUAGAGACCAACCUCCGGCACCGUCGCCGGACGAUGCCGCCGUCGGCGCGCGUCGCCGGAACCAGCAGAGCUAGCCGCGGCCAGCCUGGGCCAACCCUGGCCGAGCCGACUGCAGCUCGGUGCCUGCUUGUUGGAGCCGCCCUAGAUCGGCCGCCCCGACUUCCUCCGGCCUCUGGCGAUCUCCGGCGCACUUCCCCGUCGCCCCCGCGCACCUCCGGCCGCCGCUCGGGCAGCCUGCAGCUGUCCAGACCGGAUCGGGCCGAGUCUGGGCGCACACGACCUCCGCGCGCCGCCGCCGCCCACCGACGGACGCGCUGCCACCCCUUGGACCUCCGGCGACCUCCCGCUGCCGCCGGCGACCUCCCGCGUGUGUUUCCUGGCGUCCCCGACCAACGCCGGCCGCCGCCCGAAGCUCUCGCAGCCGCCCAGACCCGUGCGGGCCGAGGUCGGGCCCGCUCGGCUUUCAAGCACCGCCGCCGCCCACCGGGGGGUGCACCACCUUCUCCUCGACCUCCGGCGACGAACCAUCGCCGCCCCGGGCUCCUCCGGCCGCCGCUUCACCGCCAGCGCCCUUGAACCUGAAAGGAACUUGGCGAACUUGAUCUCCGCCGCCGCGCCACCGGCCACCUCCCGCCGCCGGCCAGCUGGUGCCCCGGACCCCUUCGACCUGCCGCACCCUUCCCCGGCCGGACCGCCCGCCGUCCGGCCACCGCCGGCCAUGCCCUAGCUCCUCCAAGCUCCGGUAAGCUUAGUUUAGUUUCAGCACACUGUUUAGGGUUCGGAUCGCGGUUCCAGCGAUCCGAGGGCACUCCGAUGCUACUGGAGGUGAGCAUGAUGAUACUGAGUUAGUGAGGAUCAUCGUGAUCACCUCCGUAGGGGUCAGCGAUGCGCCGGUUUGCGUGUUAGACGCGAUUUAGAUACCAUGCACGCUGUUUCGCUGAAGUUCGCUUCAUGCGCGUGCCCUCCACAGUGGCCGGAAUUGCUCCGAAAGGUGAGCACAGCCUCCGGCACGUCGAGACAUGUCAGUAGGUGUCUCGGUUUGGCUGCAUGACUCCUGGUUUGUGUAGACUGACCAUAAAAGCGCUGAAAUCGCAUGAAAUAAUGCGAUUUUGGGUAAUCGGGAGGGCUUUUAUGCAAUUUGAUUUGUCGUAGCUGCUGUUGGCAGCAUGGGUGAGCUGUGGGUGACCUCUGGACUGAUGGUCCAAGGCCCCGGACCUUUGCGAAGAUCGGAAAUGUAUUUCCGGUGCGUUUGUCGGCAAAAUCCGCCGACGGAACGCGGUUUUGGUUCGGAAUUAUUCCGACGGUGCUUCGUGAGUUAUUGUGUGGUUGCUGAGCCUCAUUGGCUGGUCACUCGCAUCAUUUCGAGAGUUUAGAAAUGACGGGUGAGCGACGGUGGGUUCCGGUGUCGAAAUAGACACUUCCGGGAACCCGGUUCGGAACGAUUAUCCGACGAUAAUCGUUUUGGAGUGAGUUAAGGUCUUUGCUGCCAAGUCACAUGUAAAUUGUAUUUAGUGGCAGCGGGUGACUCGUAGUACGAGUCGGUGAGUUCCGGGACAGUCCGUGGGUCCCGGCAGAGUCUCGGUGCGGUUUUCGGGACUUCCGGUUUGUUCGGUAAUCGGUUUUGGGAAACCGAUCUCCGUGGGAUUGUCUGUGGGUUGUGUAUUCAGGGGUUUAUUUGUGGGGUUAUGCUUUUAGGGUUUCUUAGUUGUGGGUUAGACACUAACCCAGUGGACCCUCCUUAGGUCCUGUUGACGUUCUUUUGCAGUCAGGAGACAGGCGCGACAGUUGUACAGGUGGGUACUUCGAUCCGACGUUGGUACAGUGGUGCACGCUCGGUGAUGGUUUCUUACCCUUGCUCUUUUGUUAUUAUCCAUGCUUAUAUUAUAUGUUGAGCUUUGCACCUCUAUUGUUUACAUUACACCCACGUUGUUUGAUUAUACUCUACUCAGAUGUUUCCAUGCUUAGUAUCAUGUGUAGGAGUAUAGUCUAUCUGUAUGUGAUACCAUGUUUCCUUGUUGCUCUACUUAGCUAUUCUGCAUACCCUGUUUCAUAUUUAUAGUAGAGCGAUUCUGUGAUUAUCUGUGAGAUUAGCGAUCUAGUCGGUCGAUUCUAGUAUUCAGUAUUUGUGACCUAUUCGGUGAGUUCCUCGACCUUUGUUGUCUGAUGACCGUUGAGGUCGGUAUACCCUGAGGGGUGGGAUUGUCGGUUAGUUGCCGACGGAUGAUUAUACUUUACUCAUAUCCUAUACUUGUGACAUGAUUGGUCGAGUUUCAUAUCCUAUACUUGUGACAUGAUUGGUCGAGUUUCAUAUCCUAUACUUGUGACAUGAUUGGUCGAGUUUCAUAUCCUAUACUUGUGACAUGAUUGGUCGAGUUUCAUAUCCUAUACUUGUGACAUGAUUGGUCGAGUUUCAUAUCCUAUACUUGUGACAUGAUUGGUCGAGUUUCAUAUCCUAUACUUGUGACAUGAUUGGUCGAGUUUCAUAUCCUAUACUUGUGACAUGAUUGGUCGAGUUUCAUAUCCUAUACUUGUGACAUGAUUGGUCGAGUUUCAUAUCCUAUACUUGUGACAUGAUUGGUCGAGUUUCAUAUCCUAUACUUGUGACAUGAUUGGUCGAGUUUCAUAUCCUAUACUUGUGACAUGAUUGGUCGAGUUUCAUAUCCUAUACUUGUGACAUGAUUGGUCGAGUUUCAUAUCCUAUACUUGUGACAUGAUUGGUCGAGUUUCAUAUCCUAUACUUGUGACAUGAUUGGUCGAGUUUCAUAUCCUGUACUUGUGACGUGAUUGGUCGAGUUUCAUAUCCUAGUUGAUCUGAGUGGUCAGUCCUUGUGGUUCAUUGAGCAGUAUUUGCAUAUGUUUGAGAGGAUGUCGAUGUUGUCCCAUCCUAGUUGACCUGAGUGGUCGGUUCUUGUGCUUCUUUACAGUUGACGACCUAUGCGGUCGAUGGGCCCUGGGGGGCAGGAUUGUCGGCUGGUUGCCGACGGUUGAUCAUUGAGCAUAUUGCAUUGAUCGCCCGAUACUCGUCGCAUUUCACGAACACUGGCGGUCUGAUCCACCGCAAGGAGUGUUCUUUUCCGGAAAAGUGGUUGAAUGGUGACAACCCGUGAGCCCUAGAGGGGUUAUAUGCACUGGAGAGUAGUAGUGGCACUGGCUUGAGGUCUGCGGUGCUGACCAAGAGAGCAUUGGUUUCAGAUUGGGUACUUUUGGACUUCUUGACCGGUUGACGCAUAUGUCUAUAGUAGCAGUCGUUGCAUGCAUACUUACAGUUCUUACUUUAUAGUUGUCUUGCUGCUAUAGUAGAUAUUCAUGUAUGCUUUCGGUUCCAGUUACAGUAGCGGUAGCCGUUAUUCAGUCUAGUUCUUACUUUCUUUCAGUUUAUUACUACUGUAUUCGGUAUAUCUGCUCUUUACCUUAUUAUUGUUGCUACUAUAUUUCUACUGACCCUUGUUGUUAUUUAGCUCUUCCUGAUCCGGUGAGUACUCCUCGCCUUCAUCGGCUUGCGGUACCCACUGGGAGGGGAGACAUGUUUACAUGUUCUCACCUCCCCCACUAUUUUUCAGGUAUCGCAGGCGAUGAGUAGUGGGACGAGACGUGAGGUACGUGUGUAGCGGUCGAUAUUGCUUCCGACCCAGGUUAUUUCGAUUUAGUUAUUACCCUUAUUAUUCUGUUGAUAUAUAGCUUAGUCGGUUUACAUGGUUCAAUUUUGUUUUAUUAUCUGAAUAUUUGAGUUUUCAGUUGGUUUUGGAAUGUAUUAAGGAAUUGUGUUUUUGAAAAAUAAAAGGUUUUCUACCUCUCGUGGUAGCGUUUUUAAAAGAUAAAAGUUUCCGUGUAGGGAACAGUUUUCAAAAGAUUUUCUGUGGUUUUGUAUCUUAGUAUUUCAAAACUUGUUUCCGGGUAGGAAACGUUUCAAAUGAUAGAUCUGGAUUUAUGUUUAAAACUAUGAAUACCGUCGUGUUGUGAAUGAUGAAUGUAUGGACGUCUGUAUGUGCAGUUGAGGUUGUAUGUUCAUAUGGUUGUGGUUGUAUUCUGGUUGUACUCUGGUUGUAUAAUUGUACUUGUGCGACGCCGUGCAAAUACAGGGGAGACUCUGUCCGUGUGAACAGUGGAUUCCCUGUAUUUGUGGCGGAUCUGACAUACUCUGGGGUCAGGUGUUUCAAAAAAAAAAAUUUAGUCGUUUCCGCUGUUUUUCCAAACUAAAAGGGGACCCCCGGGGCGUGACAAUUGUAGGGUAUUUACGAUAUUUAUAUUUGAAAGGGCAAGUGAUGAAAUUGCUCUUAUUUUUAAAUUGAGCAAUAUACAACAUUUACACCUUAAAGUGAGGUGUACAUCUUACACCCACUUCAUCACAAGGCUAUUAAUAUAUACUUUCGGCCUUUUUAAAUUUCGGUAUGUUGCAGAUACAUUUUUUAGCGGAAAAAAUUUUCAUGCUUAUCCAACUUGCGAAUCGGAGGAUAUUUUCUGUGAAUCUAUAUUUUAAUUCAAAAUUUAUUUAAUUCCUCAUUAUCUUUAAAACAGAAAACAAAUUCAUACUUAUCCAAAUUUUUAUUGUGAAUUUAUAUUUUAAUUCAAAAUUUAAAAUUUUGAACUAUCAAUAAAUUAUCUCAAAUAGAAAAUAAUUAACUAAUUUGAAAAUAAACUAAAUUUAAAAGAUAGAUUGAUUGAUAAAUAGAUUUAUGUCUCCAAUAACUACUUAUAUUCAAAUUAUUGAUUGAAAAUAAAUUUAAAAUUUGAAAUUUUAUUCAUAAAUUUAAAUAUGAAUUUAUUAAUUUAAAAUUUUUAAAUUAAUUUAAAUUUUAAAUCACAUUCAAAUUCAAACAAAAUUUGUAUGUUACGAAAUACAUAUGAAAAGUAUUUACAAUUUAACUAAAUUGAAAAUAUGCAAAACUUAUUCGGAGAUAAAUUAAAUUUAGAAAAACAUCAAAUAGUAAAUAAAAAAAUACCACCAAUAAUAAUUUAAAUUUAAAUUUAAUUUAAUUUAAUGUGUCGUAGUAUAGAAAAGCAUGCAUAUAUUUAAGUAUAAACUACUAAUUUCUAGUACUCCGCCCUCGUAGUUUUAUUUUUCUCUUUUAAUUAUCUCCUUUACUAAAUUUUUUCGUUAAAUCAUGAUGAACAGAAAAAAAUGAAAUCACAGGGUACUAAAUAGAACAAUGUGAGAGCAAAAAAUUUGAGGGGGAACAUCUAGGUGGAAUAUUUGAUAGAAGCAAAACUAAAAUCAUUCUAUUUAAUAGAAAAUUUGUUUUCAAUUUUUUGCCGUCAAAAGAAAAUACUUUCUAGAUGUAUAGACUACAAUCACCCCAAAGCCAUCAAUCCACACAUUCUAGCCAGUACAUAGAAUUUAUGUUUGAAAAAAAAAAAAAAUACAAUAGGACCAAAUGAUUAUCUAUAAUAGGAUUUCUUUAUCUACAUCUCCAAAUUAAAAUCAAAUUAAGUAUGGGAAUAUCUAGAUAUGAGCCUCUGAACAAUCAAGUCGUUAAUGGUGGAACUUCCGAGUCGACGAUCGGCUCAAUUAGACUUGAUCUAGAGUAUUUGAAGUAUCUAAAAAAUAAAUUUCAUAAUUUUUCGAUAUUAUUUACUUAAUGAUCGAAAGGACUCAAAAUCAACAAGAUAUUGGUAUGGUUUUAUGCAGUACAAAUGAUUUUUUUGUCAAAAUUUUAUAAAGAUUUGAAUAUUUCUACACCGUUGAACUUGUAAACGGCUCAUCACGACUAUUAAAAUUGUUAAUUUUGGGCCCCUUCAAACAAUCGUAAAAUUUAUUUUCUAAAUACUUCAAAUACUAUAGAUCAAGUCUAAUGGAGCCAAUUACGAUUCAAAAAAUUCCAGUAUCAAAAUCAACUUAAUAUUACCCGUGAUUCUAAAAGCAUACAAACCUAGCUCUCUAGAUAUUAUUAAUUAGUAAGCAUUACAUAUGAACUCGCUAGUAGUUCAAGAUAGAGUAACACAACUAUCUUUCAUAAGAUUACGAGAUUACAAUCUUAACGUGCGGAAAAGAUUGGUGUAGUUGCUCCAUUCUCUGAAAAAUUUCUUUUGGAAAAAAAAUUGCUUGGCUAUCUGGGGAGAUGGUUAUUUUCCGCAACGAAGUUGCCAUUCGGAAUAAGAACUCCAAGAAGUCGUACUCAUAUCUUUUUUCCGUAAAAUCAUGCAUCGAUAUCCGGACCAAUUUCUCAAGACAGAAGUUGUGAGAAUCCCGAUAUUCUCCUUUGCCAAAUCCGUCGAAAUAGUUGUAAAAAUCCUCAGAUUGAGGCUAGAGAAAAAAAAAAAAAAAGCAUAUAUGAGAAUAGAGCACGAAAAGAAAAUGAUGAAAAUGAGGAGGAUCUUAGGAUAUGCUUUAUAAGAAAAAUAAUUUUUAAUAUAUUUCUAUCAUUUUCAAGAGCAUGAACGAUAAGUAUUUAUAAAAAAAAUUUUAUAUAUUUUAGUUUAAUUUUGAUUUUGUUGGUGUAAAUAUUCAAAAAAUAGAGGUUAGCUACAAAAUAAUUUAAAAAUAUCAACGAGUCGAUCAAGCCGAGGCACGGAUAUCUCGCUCUCUUUAAGGAGAUUCAAGCCCUCUGCGGUUGGCAAAGCCUUUGAACCGAUGCAGCAGAGCACCGACUUGUCCCCUCCAGGAUACAACGGCUCGACCCUCGUCGUGUGGCUUCACCAACUCUGCACAAGUAGAUGAGCCCAAAGCUCCACCAAAAGAACACCUUUCUUUGACCUUCUCUCUCUCUCAAGUAUAAUAGAAAUAGCUUUAUAGUUUAUUGAGUUGUGUGUUAGAAUAGAGAAAAAGAGCCCUCUAUAUAUAGGCUCAUAGGAUAGGAGUUACUAGAAUUUAAAAAGCCAUAGGUUACAUAGCAUUUAGUUGUGUUCAUUGUGCAUAGGAGUUUAACGAAAGCAUAGGUUAGGUUUCAAUCAAAGUAAAGUUAUGAAGAAUUAAGAUUCACAUUAAAUAAUAAAAAUGUAACAACAUUCCCCCACUCAUUUUUAUUAUGAGAGUUUGAUGGUCAAAGAGAGAUCAUUAUACAUAAUGAAGGUGUGCUCUGCAUUGAACCUUCACUUAGUGAAACAGUAAUCUCUACUCCAGAGCCAGAGUGGUCUCAGACUUGAACUUUGGCUGCUUAGGGGAAAUAGAAAGUUACUGCUCACAUAUAACAAUCCAGGUGUUGACAUGAGCUUUAAUAGCCAGCACGUUACGGCCCUGUGCUGAUCCUGGUUUUCAUGAGCAUAUUUGAGAAUAAGCCCGUUCUCAUAGGAAGCGGCCCCACUUCCAUGCUCACAUAGGUGAAAUCCGUCAAGGGUGCUCCUGUAAUUCUGACACCCUGCUCAUAAGAGCCACAGAUUUCAUUAAGAGCAAAAGCUCAACCCUCUUUUCAUUACAGGAUGAAUGCACCCACACCAUAGGGAUAGGUAAAAAUGCGAUCACAUAGAUCUAUAUAUUGUGCAUUCUUUACGACCACCAUAUGAUUCGUUUUUCCCAUUGAACCCAAUUUUCAGGAUCUCUGAUCAUCGGGUUGGGUAUCCUCAUACGUGGUUCUUGAUGUUAUGGGCUUCAACCCUAUCCCCCUCGAUGUGUUCCAGAUCCUUUCUCUUCCCAAGGCCUUGGUUAAUGGAUCUGCCAGAUUAUCAGUAGAUUUAAUAUAAUCAACACUGAUAAUACCAUUGUUCAUAUAUGAUCUCACAGUACUGUGUUUUCUUCUCACGGAUCUGGAUUUACCGUUAUAAUAACGGUUUCUUACUCUACCAAUAGCAGCAGUGCUAUCACAGUGUAUUAACACUGAUGGAACUGGUUUUUCCACAAAUGGAAUCUCAGACAAUAAGUCUCUCAACCAACUAGCUUCCUCGCUAGCUGAAGCUAAGGCAAUAAGCUCGGCUUCCAUAGUUGAGUUAGCAAUGAUAGUUUGCUUUUUAGAUUUCCAACAUAUAGCACCACCUGCUAAAGUAAAAAUAUAACCAGUGGUAGAGAGAGAAUCACCUGAUAGGGUAUUCCAGUCAGCAUCACUGUAACCCUCAAUUACAGCAGGAUACUUCCUAUAAAACAAGUCAUAAGUUUUGGUACCAACGAGAUAUCUCAUCACACGUUCCAUGGCAUGCCAAUGCUCUGUACCCGGCUUGCUUGUAAAUCUACUAAGUAUCCCUACUGCGUAUGCAAUAUCAGGUCUCGUACAAUUAGUCGCAAACCGCAAGCUCCCAAUCAUACUAGCAUAUUCCUUUUGAUUCAAAAUUUCAUUUUCACUUUUAAUAGGAAACAAGUGAACACUCGAAUCAAAAGGUGUAGUCACAUGCUUGCAAUUAAGAAAGUUAUACUUUUUUAAAAUUUUCUCAACAUAAUGCGACUGAUCAAGAAAGAUCUCAUCUAGUGUUUUGGUAAUUUUCAUACCCAAAAUAUAGUUAGCCUCACUAAGAUCUUUCAUUUCAAAAUAAUGAUUUAGCAUAAUUUUUCUCUCAUUUAUAACAUUCAAGUUAGAGCAAAAAAUUAGCAAAUCAUCCACAUAAAGGCUAACAAUCACAUGCAACUUUUCAAAAGUUUUGUAAUAGAUGCACUUAUCACACUCGUUUAAUUUAAAGCCAUUCUCAAUCAUACAAGAAUCAAAUUUUUCAUGCCACUGUCUAGGUGCCUGCCUUAAGCUAUAAAGGGAUUUAUUUAGCUUGCAUACUUUAUUUUCUUGUCCAGGCUCUAUGAACCCCUCAGGUUGGUCCAUAUAAAUUUCCUCAUCUAAGUCACCAUUCAGAAAGACAGUCUUUACAUCCAUCUGAUGAAUUUGUAAGUCAUGAAUUGCAGCAAUAGCAAUCAAAACUUUGAUGGAUGUCACUCUUGUCAUCGGAGAAAAGGUAUCAAAGAAGUCUAAAUCUUCUUUUUGUUUAUAACCUUUUGCGACAAGUCUAGCUUUAUACUUGUCUACACUUCCAUCCGGUUUCAACUUCUUUCUGAGAACCCAUUUACAACCAAUUGUUGUACAGCCUGGAGGUAAAUCCACUAAUUUCCAUGUUUUAUUAGAAAUUAGAGAUUCCAUCUCAUCAAAUACAGCCUCUUUCCAAAAAAUUGAAUCAUUUGAAGAUAAAGCUUCUUGUAAAGAAAGUGGAUUUUCUUCAAUAUUCAUAACAACAUAAUCAGGGCCAAAAUCUUUUUCUAUUCUGUUUCGUUUACUUCUUCUUGGUUCAAAAUAUUUUCUUCUUGAUUUUGCACAAAAGAGUUUGAAGAACUCGGUUUAUUUGAAACACUUUUAAUAUCUUGACCCCCACUAUUUUUCGAUUUAUAAGGAAACUUUUCUUCAUGAAAAAUAGCAUCUCUUGAUUCAAAAAUCACAUUAUUUUCAAUGUCUAAAAAUCUAUAGGCUGUACUGUUUAAAGCAUAUCCAGGAAAUACACAAGUGGCAGCUCUAACACCCAAUUUGGGUCUUUUAGGGUCUGAUAGCCUCACAUAUGCUAGACAACCCCACACUUUAAGAUAUCCCAAAUUUGGCUUAUACCCUUUCCACAAUUCAAAGGGUGUCACCUUAGACUUCUUAUAUGGCACGCGAUUCAAGACAUAACAUGCAGUUAAAAUGGCUUCGCCCCAAAAAUUUAAGAGUACACCAGUGUCAACCAUCAUAGCAUUUGUUAGCUCAAUAAGUAUUCUAUUUUUUCUCUCAGCCACUCUAUUAGAGGCAGGUGAAUAUGGAGCAGUAGUCUCAUGGAUAAUUCCUAAAGACUGAGCAAAAAAGUUGAACCCCGUAGAUUCAUACUCACGACCUCGAUCACUUCUAAUUCUUUUUAUCUUUUUACCGAAUUGGUUUUCUACUUCACAGAGGAAAUCUUUAAAUUUUUCAAAAGCAUCACUUUUAUUUUUUAAUAAAUAAACAUAAGUAUAUUUAGAAAAAUCAUCGAUAAAAGUGAUAAAAUAUCUAUUUUCUCCACGAGUUAGAUUACCUUCAAAUUCACAAAUAUCACUGUGAAUUAGCUCAAGUAAUUCGGUACUUCUUUCAAUUCUCUUAUGAGGUCGUUUAGUGAUUUUUGACUUACUACAUGUUUCACAUUUGUCAAAAUCACUAUUCAGUCUGGGAAUUAAUCCUAAACUAUCUAUAAGCUAACAUAUCUGCUGCUUGAUAUGAACACAAUACGAGCAUGGCCAAAAUUUACAGAGAAGACUUCGUAAGCAGAAGUAGAUGAGCUUUAUUUAUGCAUGUUAGUAUUUGACAUUCCGUCGAUGCAUACACUUUAUCCUACAAACUUUUUUCAUUCUUCGAAUCACAUUAUGAUCAAACUCAUGGUCUGUUUAAGUAGCUUUAUAAGAAGAAAAUUGACAUCAAGGUUCUUCCUAACAAGGGUGUAUGUAAUACAUCUUUCAUUAUAAAGACCCUUCAGAAGCAAAAUCUUUAAUCUCAAACUCGCCUCCCUAAACUUAGAAGUAUGCAAAUCACAAGCAUAAUUACUUUUGUUUGUUCUAGGUUAGUAUAUGAUUUAACCAAGUCUCUAUCAUGACAGAUCAUGCCUUAUUGGCACUAGAGUCUGCCCACCAUCCUUCAGCCACGCUCAAUAAGAUAUGUCGGUUAUCAUCCACAAAGUGGAUCCUCGACAUUAGCUUAAGGUAACAGUUUUAUGUUUCCGGUAUUUGCAAAUUCGGAGCAAUAGUGCUGUAAGGACUGAGAUUUUUGCCGUUGUCACGCUUAAACUCUCAGUUACGAGGUUUUUGUGUGCAAUUUAAUUACAAAAGUACUCGUCAAGUUUCGAGAGAAAUCGAAGUUAAAAUGGGAUUCUCUUACGCGAUUCCAAGUUUCACUUAAAGGUGAAUAGUAACUCGAUUUUCCGUGAGAAGCCACGGUUGAAGUUGGCUUCAGGCUUAUAUCGGACUCCGUUCCUAGCGGUCCAAUAGCUCGUUUCGGAACGAUUCAGCUGUUCUGGAAUAAUGCGCUAGAUUUUGAGUUGGAAUGCCACGAAUUUCGAGAAAAUCUAAAAAAAUACAUGUUUUAUAUGUAUUUUGUGUCUAUUAUUCUGUUUGGAAUGAAAGGUUGGAUUUCGUCCGAAUCCGGGUGAGUCGAUCGAGGUUGAACCAAAUCGUAGCUUUGUUGUCUCUGAGGUGCUGAUCCAUGGUGGCAAUCCGGUUCGCAAAUUGACGGACGGAAUGUACGGAGAUCGCACGUGAUCGAGGAGAGGGUCGUGUUGGCAAAACGGUGAAUUUCGCAACAAGUCGCGAUUAUUUGUUAUGGUGUACGUUUCGCGGUGAAGAUCGCACGUGGAGAAUCUUCAUGGUUUUACUCAUGCUUGAGGGGACAGAAUCAAAUAUGAGUUUGAGGGUUUUCGCAAUUUGCACAUUAUACUAUAUUUUUAUCUAGGGUUUUGCAAUGGGAAAACCCUAACCCUAGACUUAGCCGCAACCCUACACUCAAUCGACUCCCUGCCCCUGCUGGCGCGGCGCCCAGGCGCGCCGAUGGGUACGGCGGCCACCGGCCGCCGGAGCACCUUCCUUUUCUCUCCCUCUUUUCUCUCGUCUCUCUCUCUCUCGCGGUUGUGAGAGCCUUGAAGACUGCCGCCACUCCAGACCCUUCCGCCGGUUGUCGGCCCGCUGCCCGGCGAGCCAUUCCCCGCCGCACCGCCAGCCGUGGCUAGCGACCGCCGGCUGCAGCCAGGAUGGCGCUGCUGCUGGGACAAGGGCUCCGCCGAGCGGAGUGAGCAGCAAGUUGGUCGCGCGCCUUGCCGCCGCCUGAGACUGUCCGCGCCUUCCCGGAGCCAGGUGACUCCCCGUCGCUGUCGCCGUCGCGAGGCGCCGCGCUGCCGCCAGCUGCUGACUUGCUGCCAAUGAAGGGAACUCGGCCCGAGCGAGUUGCAACUAGCUUCCCACCGCCGGACGCCGGCGCUCGCAGCCGCAGCGCAGCCGCAGGCACCCGAGGCACCCCUUCGGGCUUCAAGCGAUCCUCGCUGCGCCGUCUCGGAGUCCCAGGCGCCGCCCGUGGCCGCGAGGCUGCCUUGGAACACCGAGCCGACCUGAGUGCGGGCUUGGGUUGCUUCCACCGCCUGCCGCCGCGCUUCAGCCGCCUAACUGGGUGGCAUCGUGUUCCUACCUCCUCCGCACCCACCUGGCCCCGCGGCCGUCGCAUGCCGCCGGAGCCCGGCCGGAGCAGCUUGCUCCGGCCAAAGCCCGAAAUAGGGCUUAAGUUGAUGUGUUAUUGUUUCUUGAGCUUCCUGAGCUCCCGAUCUGUCGAAAGGGAGAAUGAUGAUUGUAGCAAAUUGAUAAUCAUCGUGUUACCUUUAGUCUCUGGGGGAGACUCCGAUGCCGAUAUUUCGCGGUGUCGGACCCUGUCGACGCCGUGUUUGGUGUUUGUUUGGAGACUUGCUCACGUUAUCCGGCGAUCGAGGCUGUGUUCUUGAUUGCCUCCAGGUGAGCACAGCGUGUCGUUGGUCUGUGCCGAUUCACCAUUGCUCACCUUACUUUGGGAGACAUGGUCGGAUCAGCCCUGUUUGGCGUGAUCUUCCCUCGACUGCGCGCUUGUUCGCAGAACUUCGGGUUGCCGCCCGCGUUGCCCACAGCGACUGUUGCCGUCCGAACAUUGAGCACGGCGCCCGGCACAUCGAGACGCCUGUCCAGUACAGUGUUCCGGCGGAACUUAGAGGUCCUCAGUUUGUGUUGGAAGAACGGAGUCAUAAGGAGUCGCACCGAUUUACAUAAAAUGAUGGAUUUUAUGAUAACAUAGGGGCUUUUGUGCCAAUUGUACACCUUGUGCCUACUGUGGACAGAUGUGUAUGAGUGUGUUUGACCUCUGGACUGUUGCCAUGAUCCGUUGCUUUUGCGAAAAUCAAAGAUGGUCAAUUUCGGUGUGUUAUUCGGCGAAGUUCGCGAAAGAACGCGGUUUCGGUUCGGAUUCUCUGACGUGUAUGUUGUUUGUGUUGGCUGUCUGCUCGCUGAGCUUGUGGUGGCUAGUCACCAUCAUCUAUUUUGUGGGAUGGUUCAGGUGAUGUAUGGGUGUAGCCGACGGUGGGUUCGGUGUCGAAAUUAGACACUUUCGGAACUGCGCGAUUCGAUACAAUUAUCCGGGCGAUAAUUGUGUAGUGUGUUAUCUUGUGUUUGCAUGCCAAAAUCCAAAUUGGAGUGUUUUGGAAGACAGGCGAUGUGAACACGAGUCGGUGUGAGUUUCGGGAAUUAGUGGUGCCCGACGCGUCCCGGUGCUGGUUUUUCGGAUUUCGGUGAGUUACGGUUAAUCGGUAUGUGGGAAACCGCAUCUUCUUAUGAAAUUGUUGUGUGGGGGUUGUGAAUACUGUGAUAUUAGUUGUGGGUUAGAUAUAACCCGGUGGCCCUCUAUAGUCUUGUCGACAUUCUUUUGCAGUCAGAAUGAUAGAACGCGACAUCGUUACAGCGUGCGGUACUUGACCGACGUCGGUACAGUGCCGUGGCACGCUUGGUGCAUGGUUUCUUCCUUACUCUUCAUCGUUGUUACGUAUCGCAUAGUAUAUUGAGCCUUGCACCUUGUUAUAUUCGUGUAUACUCUACUCGUUGUUUGCCACAUGCUUCAUAUCCUGCAGUAGCGAGUAGUAGUGAGUUCUAUCGAAAUGCGUAUCUGUUGACCUAGUUAGUUGGUUGUUGCAUUGCGUAUCUUUGACUGGUUGGUCGGUUCUCUAACUUGUUUCGGUGACCUGAGUUGCGUCGGUUUCGUACAUCAUUCGAUGACCGUUGAGGGUCGGAUAUACCCUAAGGGGGGUUGGAUUGUCGCGUUGCAGACGGAGAUUAGUGUUUACACAGUUCCACUAUUUGGAUCAUAUUGGACUAGUAGUCAGCAUUCGGAUGGAGUCUGGCGUUGAUGACCUAUGAGGAUCGUCUACCUGAAGGGGCUUGGAUUGUGCGGCUAGUGGCCGACGGUAAUUCAGGAUUCUAUUGAUAUACUCUGGUGGACCUAUUCGUCGUUCGUCGUGAAUAUGUGGUUAGUUGACUUUAGUAGUCAAUGCUUGUAUACCUUGGUAGCGAUGUUGAGUUGUUCCUCUUAGUUGGGACCUGGAUAGUCGUUUCUUGUGCUUUGUAUAGUUUGAUGAACCUAUUGGUCGGUGUUUUGCCCGAGCGGGCGGUGGUUGUGCGGCUGGUUUGCCGAAUUUGGCUAUUGUUCAUAUCCGCAUGUGAUCGCCACGCUCGAUGGUGCAUUUCAGUGACCAACCAGCGGGUGAUCCCCCGCAGGGGGGUGUUCCUUUUCCGGAAAAUGUGGUCGUACAUCCGACCGUGAGCCAGCGGUGUGCUCUUUGUGCUAGGGUUAAUGCAGGGGCGAGCAAGGUGUGCUUUUGCCUGAGCGUCCUUAGACCGAACACGGCGGUUUAGAUUGGGUAUUUGGACUACUUGUCGGUUGACGCAUAUACUAUAGUAGCAGUGCGUCACUUGUAUAUCUUCAGUUCUAUUUCGUUAAUUGUUGUACUAUAGAUCUUGUUACAUGUUACAUUCAGUUUGUUCAUUACAGGUAGCGUAGUUGUAUCUUUCUAUAUAUGUCUAUUCAUUCAUAUUAUUGCUACUGUAUUUUUACUGACCGAUAUGUUGUUUUAGCUUCUUCCUGUAUCCGGUGAGUACUCCUCGCCUUCAUAGAGCUUGCGGUACCCACUGUGCGAGAGGAGACAUGUUUACAUGUUCUCACAUCCCCCACCAUUUUUUCAGUUUACAGGCGAUGAGAAUGUUUGGGACGAGAGUGAGUACGUUCGUAGCGGGUCGGAUAGGAGCUUCCGACCAGCCUGUUAUUAUUUUAGUUUUAUCCUUAUAUUCUGUUGUAUAGCUUAUAUGUUUAUAUGUUUUCAGUUAGGAUGAUCAUUACUUGAUGUUUGAAUAUUGUGAGCUGGUUGAAUUGUGGAUUUUGUGGAAUUAUGGAAUUUGGUUUAUUGGAUCUUCAGUUUUGGGAUGUUGUUAUACUUUGGUUCUCGAAUUUGUAUUUAUCGGAGUGUACGCAUCGUGGUUUUCGUACCCCUCGGUAGUCGGUUUUCAAAAUAGAGUUUCUGUGUGGAAACAGUUUUCAAAAGAUUUUGUAAUGAUUUUCAUGUAUGAAUGAAUUAGAUUUUAAAAAGCAAAAAAGUUUCUGUUGUGGGUGAGCUUUAAAUUAGGAUGAUUGUUGUCUGCUGAUUUCAUCAAUCCAAACGCGUCUAAGGAGUGUUUAGAGCAUGCAUCAUUCUCUAAGGAUUGUUAGCCUGUAUGAAAAAUUGCCAUAACAUGAAUUGGUUGCUGAUUGGUAAAUGUAGGUUGUGGUUGUCGAUCCUUGUAUCCGUUGGUACGCGUGCAAAUACAAAGGGAGACUCUGUCCGAGGUGAACAGGAUGUGAACUUUGUAUUUGUGGCGGGUCUGUACUGUUCACGUGGCCAGGUUGGGAAAAAAAAAAAUGCACAUUUCGGACUCUGCAGAUUUCAAAAUGGUAAUGGCUUUUAAAAUCCAGUUCCCGGGGGUGAAGUAUUAAGAUGGAUCAGAGAGUGAACAAACUACCACCUGCAUUUGUACAAAGUUUUCAAACUGAAUUUGUUAGUUAUGAUACGCCGGGAUAUCAGCGGGAAGGCAUAUCGGUAUCGAUGCACAAGACCGCCAUACACCUGCGGUAUAUAAGGCGGUCUACAAGAAACAAGUCGAUAGGUGGAGCAAAAAAAUAACCUAUACCUAUCCUAAUAUCAGAGCAUAGUAAAAUCACAAAGACUUAUCAAACAAAAGACGAGAGUGUUCAGCAAAUAUAGUGUCAAAAGGAAGUAUAAAAAUGCCACAUCUGGAUCAAAUAAAUAGUAACAAAAGGUUAUACGAAAACAGUCUGCUACAAUGCGUAGCUCUCGAUAAAACUGGCCAUCACCUCGGCUGUAACCCGAGUAGCAAGGUGAUCGACUAGGCACGCUCCCAGCAAUGUCUAGCUAGACGUGACUUCCUUGCCCGGUCCCUAGCCUCUCUGUAGUGGCUCUCUGUAAAACACCACAAAAAGGGUGUGAGAACUAUAAACAAUAGUUCCAGAUGGCCGUAAGCGCCAGCCUCGGCGAACUACACCAUAGGCCACUCAUGAUUGUACUAAAUGAAAGCAAAGCAGUAAUUGAUGAUAUAUAAUUAGGCAAUGCUAACAGUAAUGAGAUGUAAGCAACUAUGUAAUCAUAGUCUCAAACAGGUAAUGAAUCAAACUGGAAUAAUAGAAGCAUAGGCAAUAUGAUAGCAUGAACAUAAAAUAAAUGUUAAGUAAACUACUAUACACUGUAACUGGUAAUCUUCAUUACUGUCAAUUUUCUUUAGCACUUUCUUUCAUUCUAAAGAAUCUUCCAAGGUGUCCAACUUUUGCGUCCGCCGCUUUUUUAAUGGGCCCGUGGUUAGUAUACAACUCACGGCAAUCCACUUCGGCACCCAAUCCCGCACUGGGCGACAAUGUCGGCGUAGGCAACUGAGGCGGCUUUAGGAGGACUCACAAGCGUGUGCGAGAUGAGCACAAUGGCAACAAGCAAUCCACAGUCCACAUGUCUCAUCAUCACGUUUUCCAAUUGCAAAGUUCUUCGAUCUUUGAUCGCGAAUUCUCAAUAUAAUAAAUAUUGGCAAUGACUAGAUUCACUAGAUUACUAAGCUUUUAAGAGUAAUGCUAAUUUACAAUAUGGAUUAGAUCUUUCAUUACAUGGCACUUCAACAUAGUGCAGAAGCUUGUCAUUGUUGUUACUUUACAAUUCAAUCAACGGUCAGACAAAUGUCAUUGUUCUCUAACCUAUUACAGGAACAUGAAAUAAAUUAUCUCUCGGUUGUUUAAUGAACUAAACAAGGAAUUACCUCUAUGCAUAAAUGUUCCCUCUUUUAUAGCAGUUUAUUUCAUAUCAUAUAGCCAACAUGAUGAAUGUUUCGAGUUCUAUAUUAAACCACGCAUUACACACAGUAUAUUGAUUCUAUAAUACAUUAUAGAACAUAGGGGAGCUUCACUUUGCUUAGUUAGGUCAAACCCAACGUAUCACUACUCAAACGCCAAAGAUGCUCCCAAACUCAGCUCAAACGGGUCCCUGGACCUGCUGAAAUUCAAAACAUCAAACCGCGUCGGAACGUUACUUAGUAAUCUAAUUUCAGCUCUAUGGCGCAUAGUUACAAGCUAAUAAGCUUUAAUCCCGGUUGGCUAUUUAAUACCUCAAGUCGAGUCUUCAAAGCUUCCGGUCAGCUAAAAUCACUCUUAAGAGUCGAAUCACACUCCGGUGCCGAAAACAACGUUAAAACGGCAUUAGAAUUUGCUUGUAUGCAAGCUUCUAUUAGUCGAAUUCUUGUAAUUUCAGCUCUAACAGAAAUUUUUCUUACGAAGAUGGAAACCUUCCAAGCUAAGCCCCUGGUCACCAAAAUAGUCCCAGUGGUUCCAAGAACUGCUGCGAAGGAAACAAGUUCAAACUGAUCACUUCGCUCAAUAAUCCACGUAUAGCUUCGCAUUAGAGUCAACUUCCAUAAUUAUCGAUUUUUAGCUUUAAAGCCAAUUUAACCUAGUCUAGAUGGUUAAUUUCACCAGCAAUUACUUAACAUCUAGCAUGCUUGGAAUCUCUGUCUUAACACAGCUGCCAAGUAAAUCCUGAAAUCGAUACUUAAAUCGACCAAUAUAUCUUCAGUCGUACGGAAACGUGAGCACAUUACUUCUCAGGCUUCCAACCGCAACCUACUGUUCAGGGUUACGAAAGCCGUUCCCGCAAACACUCUCUCACGAUCAUAAAAGGUCAGCGACACCUGCAACCCCGAAGAACGAUGCCGAGGCCGACGAAAAAUAAACGAUAAGUUCGCGAUUUCUUCGCUAGAGAGAGAAACCCCUAGUAGAGAGAGAGAAGGAUGGUGAAUUAACACCCCUCUUGAGAUUCGCAGCAUCCUACUGAGCUCCUGGGGUCUGCUGGGUGUGGGGAUAAUAUGGGAGUGUGAAAGACAAACAGCUUGCUGCACGCAGCUGCGCGGCUUCUGCUUGCUUGCUGUACCGGUAAGCAUUAGGCUGUACCGGUUACACCAAGGUGCAGAAAUUGCAGAUUUCGUAUAUAGCAAUGCACUUUCUCCUCUCCGGCAAUCCGAUUCACUCUCUAACUUGUCCAAAACGUGUCCAAGCCUUUUAGGACAUGAUUAGGAUAGUUCCACAACUCAUGCCACGCACUCGAACUCCGCAAUUUGCAAAAGUUCAGUGUAUUACAUUCACCCCUCCUAAAAAGGAGUUUCGUCCGCGAAACGAAAACAGUUACAUCAAAAUAUCUUCAAAAUAGGUGAGGAUAGUGUUCCUGCAUUACACUUUCCAAUUCCCAAGUUGCUUCGCGUUCAUCAUGAUUGCUCCAAAGUAUCUUUACGUACGGUAUCUCGCGAUUUCGAAGCCGUUUCACUUCUCGAGCUAGUAUUCUCACUGGAUGUUCUUCGAAGCUCAAAUCUUCCUGUAAAUCCACUGGAGUACUCUCCAAUAUGUGAGUUGGAUCAAAAACAUAUUUCCGGAGCGUAGAUACAUGAAAUACAUUAUGUACUCCUGAUAGAUUCGGCGGCAACGCAAGCUGAUAUGCUACGGGGCCUAUUCGUUCCAACACCUCGUAGGGUCCAAUAAAUCGAGGACUUAACUUCCCUCGAAUACCAAAUCUCUUAACCCCUUUCGUCGGUGAAACUUUCAGAAAUACAUGAUCGCCAACCUGAAAUUCCAAUUCUCGCCGACGUUUGUCCGCAUAACUCUUUUGUCGACUUUGAGCUGUCAGUAGUCGUUCUCGCGCAAGUCGAACUUUAGCUUCAGCCUCUUGUAAUACAUCUGGACCCAAGACUAAUCUUUCACCCACUUCACUCCAAUGAAGUGGUGAUCUGCACUUUCUACCAUAAAGGGCUUCAAAAGGUGCCAUCUGAAUACUUGCUUGAUAACUAUUGUUAUAAGCAAAUUCAGCCAUUGGUAAGAACUAUGGCCAACUGCCCUGGUAAUCAAUCACACAGGCCCUCAACAUAUCUUCAAGGGUCUAGAUGGUACGCUCAGACUGCCCAUCACUCUCGGGGUGGAAAGCAGUGCUAAAAUCCAAUCGAGUACCCAAAGCCUCCUGUAAACUCCUCCAGAAAUGUGAAACAAAUCGGGUGUCCCGAUCAGAAACAAUAGAAACAGGAACUCCGUAUAAUCGCACAACUUCAUCAAGAUACACUUGUGCAAGUCUUUCCCCCGACCACACGGUAUGAAUUGGAAUAAAGUGGGCAGAUUUAGUCAAUCUAUCCACAAUUACCCAAAUUGCAUCAUGUCCUGCCUGUGAGCGAGGUAAUCCAACAAUAAAAUCCAUUGUAAUCCUCUCCCACUUCCACACUGGUAUGGGUAAGCUUUGAAGUUCUCCCGCAGGAAGUCGAUGCUCAGCUUUAACCUGCUGACAGGUUAAGCAUCUGGCCACAAAAUUUCCAACUUUCUUUUUCAUUCCAGGCCACCAGUAAGUUGCCUUUAGAUCUUUAUACAUUUUUGUACUCCCGGGGUGUAAAGUAUACGGUGCCCGAUGUGCUUCAAUUAGAAUCUCCUCUUUAAUAUCUGGAUUUGCUGGUACACAAAGCCUAUCGCCGAAUUUUAUCAAUCCCUGAUCAUCCACUCGAAAAUCACCACUAUCAUGAUCAGCAGGGAUCUUUGCUCGAAUCUUUUGCAGAGACUUAUCUUGAGCUUGCUUUUCUUUAAUUCGAUCGAUUAGGGUAGGCUGCACUACUAAUGACAUAAGUCUCCAAGGCGUGUCAGGAGCUACAAUUUUCAAAUUCAACUGUUCCAUUUCCUUCAUUAACAGUGGUUGCAUCGUUAUCGACAUCGCCAAAUUUUUCGUUGAUUUUCGACUUAAAACAUCUGCUACAACAUUAGCUUUUCCUGGAUGAUAGAGGAUGGUCAAAUCAUAAUCCUUGAGCAACUCCAACCAUCUACGUUGUCUCAAGUUUAAUUCCUUCUGUGUAAACAGAUACUUCAAGCUUUUAUGAUCAGUGUAGACUUCACAACGCUCGCCGUAGAGGUAGUGGCGCCAAAGCUUUAAAGCAAAUACCACAGCUGCUAACUCAAGAUCAUGUGUAGGGUAGUUCUUUUCAUAAUCUUUCAAUUGGCGAGACGCAUAAGCAAUUACUCUGCCGUUCUGCAUUAGAACACACCCUAAUCCAUUCAGCGACGCAUCACUGUAAAUCACAUAAUCCACUCCAGUAACAGGCAGUGCUAGAAUCGGGGCAGUAGUCAACCGUUCCUUUAGCUCUUGAAAGCUUCUUUCGCAGGCUUCAUUCCACAGAAAUUUAGCUCCUUUAUGAGUCAAUCGAGUGAGAGGAGUAGACAUCUUUGCAAAUCCUUCUACAAAUCUUCGAUAGUAUCCUGCGAAACCAAGGAAACUCCGAAUUUCUGUGACACUAGUCGGCCUAGGCCAAUCUUUAAUCGCUUCAAUCUUCUUGGGAUCGACAGCUAUCCCAGCCUCUGAAAUGACAUGGCCCAGAAAUGCUACUUCUCGAAGCCAAAAUUCACAUUUCUUUAACUUUGCAAACAAUUUCUUUUUGCGAAGUACUUGCAACACCGUUCCCAAAUGACUUUCAUGCUCCUCGUCGCUUCGAGAGUAGAUCAGAAUAUCGUCGAUAAACACAACCACAAAUCUGUCCAAAUAUGGCUUGAAGACACGGUUCAUUAAAUCCAUAAAGGCUGCUGGGGCAUUUGUCAAUCCAAAUGGCAUCACUGUAAAUUCAUAAUGCCCAUACCGUGUCCUAAAAGCGGUCUUGGAAACCUCUUCAGGCUUGAUCUUAAGCUGAUGAUAACCUGAUUGUAAAUCAAUCUUAGAAUAUACUUUCGAUCCUUGCAGCUGAUCGAAUAAAUCAUCAAUUCGGGGUAAUGGAUAUUUGUUCUUGAUUGUGACUUUAUUAAUUUCUCGAUAAUCCACACACAAUCGAAGAGAUCUAUCCUUUUUCUUAACAAAUAACACCGGUGCUCCCCAAGGAGAUACACUCGGUCGAAUGAAACCCUUAUCCAAUAAAUCCUGCAACUGUGCCUUCAGCUCUUUCAACUCAGCGGGUGCCAUCCUAUAGGGUGCUUUCGAAAUAGGAGUUGUCCCAGGGACAAGAUCAAUCACAAAUUCAACUUCCCUAUCAGGUGGCAUACCCGGCAACUCAGCUGGAAACACAUCCCCGAACUCUCGCACAACUAGAAUAUCAUCAAUCUUGAUGGCUUCACCAUCACUCACAGAAAUGCUAGCCAGAUAGGCUACACAGCCCCUCCGAAUCAACUGUCGUGCUCGCGAAGAAUUAAUAGUCAUUGCGAAUAAUGAACUCUGACACCCCCUAUAAACAAACUCCUGUUGGCCCGGUUCCCUAAAGGUCACCGUUCUGUUCGUGCAAUUUAUGGUGGCAUAAUACUGAGUCAACCAAUCCAUACCCAAUACUACAUCAAACUCCCCAAGUUUGUGUAGUGCCAAAAGAUCUACUGGCAUAAUCCAGUCGCCUACCCUAAUUAGGCAGCGAGGGCAAAACUCACGAACAUCAAGGGUAUGGUGAGGUACAAUCACUCGUCCAGGAUGCAAAGUAGGUACUACCUGAAUGCUAUGCAACUCGGCGAACUGCCGAUCAAUAAAAGAAUGCGAAGCACCAGUAUCAAAUAAUGCACGAACAUGAAUAUCAUAAAGCAUAAUGAUACCUGCUACGACCUCCUCCGCUGCUGCGGCCUCCUCUGUCUGGGCGGCAUACAUGCGCCCACUCGAACCCUGUCGAGAACUCUCAGACUGUCGCUGUCCCGGUGGUCGUCUGUACUGCGAGGGUGCUGACGGGGUCCCCUGGCUCGGAGCUGAAGAUGCAGGGGCUGAUGCCGAUGAGGGUGCAGGUGAAGAACCUCUCGGGCACUCUGAACGAAAGUGGCCCUCCUGACCACAAAGGAAGCACCUGCCCCCACGUUGUGGACACUGUGGUGGAAAGUGAGGCCCACCACAAAUGACACAACGUGGCUGUCGACGACGCUCGGGUGCUCCACGGGGUGCUGAGGAACCUCGACCUCUCGACUGACCCGGCUGGCCCCUAGGAUAUUUCGGUGGUCUCCUGAAAGGUUGCUGACCACAGCUCUCUGCUGUUGGCCUCUUUCCUUUACUCCGAUCCACAAUAUCUCUUUCUUUCAUAAUCUCCGCCCCCUUUUCUACAAUCAAGGCCCGGUGUACCACCUCUCUAUACGUCGAUAGGUUUGACGCCUGGACUAGUCUGAAAAUCGCAGGUCGCAAACCUGCCUCAAAAAUCCGAGCCUUGUCUUCAUCAUCUCUGACCACAAAAGGAACACAGUGCAGCAAUCGGGAAAACUCUCGCUCAAACUCUGCUACUGUCCUGUCCCCCUGUCUCAGAUUUCUCAAAUCCCUUUCCAUCUGCCUCUUCACACUCUGUGGAAAAUAAGUCGCCAACAAUAAUUCCUUGAACCUGUUCCACGUAAUAGUGGACAAAUCAGUACGGGGAUCCUCACGAAUGUCCACCCACCACCUGUAAGCCUCGCCGUCAAGGUGGUGUGUCGCAAACCAAACUCGAUAUCGCUUCUCGACAAAUGUAUCAUAGAAUAACUUCUCCAUGUGCAUUAACCAUUUCUCGACCACCCAGUGAUCUGCUUUCUCCCCAUCAAAGAUACGAGGGGUGCAACGACGGAAUUCAUUCAAUUGUUCCAUCAUCCGCUCUCGCUCCUCAGCCCCUACUAUCUCUGGUAACACUGUCCUUGAUGCCGCUACAGGUACUGGUGGUGGUACUACUGUCUCCUGUCGGGUCUCCGCCCUCGGAGCUACUAGGGGUAUGUCAAGUACAGGUGACUGUGCUCUUAUUGUCGCAUCCCUGUCUGGUACUGUAGGUAUAGAAUCAGGAAUCUCUCUGUCUGUCGUCUGCCGCAGUAGUAAAUCCUCUAACCUCUUCAUUCUAUCCUCCUGUCGACGCGCAGCGUCCAUCUGCUGUCGCGCGGCCGCAGCCUGCUGAGCAACCAAAUCUGUCAGCUUCGCGAGCUGAUCCUGCAACUCAUGGAUCCCACUAGAUCCCGAAGUAACAGAAGUCCCCACUUCCUCUGCAUCCGCCGCCUCAGCUGUCCCGGCGGCUUGCGAACGAGUCAAAGGCAUCUUGAGCUGCAGCACAAAAAUAAAUAUAGAUUAAUAAAACCUAUACUACUAAACCCUCAUUGAGGAUAUAAGCCAGCUAAUUAAGCGAAAGUAAUGAAAUGUAACGCGUACUAACUUUCGAUGUCACAUUGUCGGCCGCCAACGUGACCCUCUGCAAAGUUAGUAAUUGCACAUUCCGAUCAAACCCCUACUAUUCAGAGUUUAUAAAUACCCAAUCCAAGUACUUUCGCUAACAACAAUCUCGACUAGACCUCGUCUCUCACGAGCCUAUUCUUAUAGUCCAACCAGCCUAAGGUUUGCUAGGUCUACUAAGACUCAACCCUAGGCUCUGAUACCACUAUAAUCUGUCACGCCCGGGAUAUCAGAGGAAGCAUAUCCGGUACGUGCACAGACCCGCCAUACACCUGCAGUAUAUAAGGCGUCUACAAGAAACAAGUCGAUAGGAGUAAAAACAUAACAUAAUCCUAUCCUAAUAUCAGAGCAUAGUAAAAAUCACAAAGACUAUCAACAAAAGAACGAGAGUGUCGAGCCAAAAUAUAGGUACAAAAGAAAGUACUAAAACUGCCACAUCUGGAUCCAAAAUAAAUAUACAACACAGGGUAUACAAAAAGUCUGUACAAUGGUAGUCUCUCUAUAAACUGGACAUCACCCUCGGCUGUAACCCGAGUAGCAAGGUGAUCGACUAGCACGCUCCUAGCAAUGUCUAGCUAGACGUGACUCCCUAGCCACGGUCCCUAGCCUCUCCUGUAGAUGGCUCUGUAAAAACAACCACAAAAAGGGCGUGAGAACUAUAAACAAUAGUUCCCAGUGGGUAAGCCGCCAGCCUCGGCGAACUACACCACUAGGCUCAUGAUGUACUAAAUGAAAGCGAAAGCAGUAAUUGCAUGAUAUAUAAUUAGGCAAUGCUAACAGGUAAUGAGCAUGUAAGCAACAUGUAAUCAUAGUCUCAACAGUAAUGAAUCAACUGAAUAAUAGAAGCAUAGCAACUAUGAUAAGCAUGAACAUAAAAAUAAAUGUGUAAGUAACUACUAUACACUGUAACUGGUAAUCAUUCAUUACUGUCCAAUUUUCUUUAGCACUUUUCUUUCAUUCAUAAGAAUCUUUCCAAGGUAGUCCAACUUGCGCCGCGCUAAUGGCCCCGUGGUAGUAUACACUCCCCACGGCAAUCCACUUCGGCACCCAAUCCCGCACGGGCGAGCAACUGUCGCGUAGGCUAACUCCGGAGUGCCGGCUUGUAGGGAGCGACCCUCACAAGCGUGUGCGAAUGAGCACAAUAGCAACAAGCAAAUCCACAGUCCAACAUGUCUCAAUCAUCACUUUCCAACUUGCAAAGUUCUCGAUCCUUUGAUCGGAAUUCUCAAUAUAAUAAAUAUUGGCAAUGACUAGUAUUCACUAGAUUACUAAGCCUGUAAGAGUAAUGCUAAUUUACAUAUGGCAUUAGAAUCUUUCAUUAACAUGGCACUAUCAACAUAGGCACAAGCUUGUCAUUGUUGUCUACUUUACAAUCAAUACGGUCAACAAAUGUCAUUGUUCUCUACUUUACAGAAACAUAAUAAACUUAUCUCUCGGUUGUUCUACUGAACUAAACAAGAAUACCUCUAUGCAUAAAUGUUCCCUACUUUAUAGAGAUUCUAUUUCAAUCAUAUAGCAAACAUUAUAGUGACAUGUUUCGAGUUCUAUGUUAACCACGAUUGCACACAGUUAUAUUGAUUCUAUAAUACAUAUAGAACAUAGGGGAGCUUCACUUGCUCUAGUUAGGUCAAACCCACCUAUCACUAAGCUCAAAACAGCCCAAGAGAUGCUCCAAACUCAGCUCAAACGGUCCCUGGACCUGCUGAAAACAAAACAUCAAACCGCGUCGGAACGAUUACUUAGUAAUCUAAUUUCAGCUCCUAUGGCGCAUAGUACAAAGUAAUAACUUAAUCCCCUGCUUUGGCUAGUUUAAUACCUCAAGUCGAGUCUUCAAGAGCUUCCACAGGUCAGCUAAAAUCACUCUUAAGAGUCGAUCACACUCCUGCUGCGAACAACGUUAAAACGGCAUUAGAAUGCUUGUAUGCAAGCUUCUAUAGUCGAAUUCUUGUAAUUUCAGCUUCCUAACAGAAAUUUUUGCUUACCCUUAGAUAGAACACCUUCCAAGCUAGCCCCCCUGGUCACCAAAAUAGCCCCAAGUGGUUCGAGAACCUGCUGCGAAGAAACAAGUUCAAACUGCAUCACUUCGCUCCAAUAAUCCACGUAUAGCUUCGAAUUAGAGUCAAACUUCACUAAUUAUCCAUUUUAAGCUUUAAAGCAAUUUAACCCUAGUCUAAAAUGGUUAAUUCACAGCCAAUUAACUUAACUCUAGCUGCUGAAAUCUCUGUCUAACACAGCUGCAAGUAAAAACCUGAAAUCGAUACUUAAAUCGACCAAUAUCGCGUCGAUAAGGAAGAACUUGAGCCAAGUACCUUCUCAGGCUUCCAACCAGCAACCUACUGGUUCAGGGUUACGAAAAGCCUUCCGAAACACUCUCUCACGCAUCCAUAAAGGCUCAGCGACACCUGCCAACCGCGAAGAACGAGCGAGGCGACGAAAAUAAACGAAAUCGCCGAUUUCUUCGUAGAGAGAGAAAAACCCUAGUGAGAGAGAGAGAAAGGAUGGUGGAAGAACACCCCUCUGAGCUCCAGCAAUCCCUACUGAGCUCCUGGGGUCAUGCUGGGGUGUUGGGGAUAAGUAUGGGAGGUGAAAAGACCAAAACAGCCUUGCUGCCACGCAGCUGCGGCUGCUGCUGCUUGCUGUACCGGUACAGCAUUAGGCUUGUACCGGUACACCAAUGCAGAAAUUGCAGAUUUCGCAAUAGCAAUGCACUUUCUCGUCUCCGGCAAUCCGAUCACUCUCUAACUUGUCCCAAAACGUGUCCAAGCCUUUUAGAACAUGUAGGAUAGUUCCACAACUCAUGCCACGCACUCGAACUCCGCAAUUUGCAAAAGUUCAGUGUAUUACAUAGGUUGACCAUAGGAUGACCAUAAAAUCGUAGGCACGUACGAGCCCGGGGUAUACGAGAUUUAAUCUCGGGGUUAUCGAGCUGGUAGGUUCGAGGGUUGAUUUGUGUUAUCACCUCGUGUUCUUUUGCUACAGGUUGUGGCUUGUGCUUGUUUUGGUGUUAGGAGUGGGGAUAGUGAGCGGACUAGCUCUGAGCAGUGAGGUAUCAUCAGACUGCUAUUGCUAUUUUAAUCGCCCCACCUCCAACACGGGACAUGAAUGUUUUUGCUGGUCAAUCCGCAGGCACAGGGUGUAUUCUGUUGAGUUAUGUCAGGUGGUUUUGUUGGUGGAGUUACCUAGGCAGAUGUUUCGACCUUUGUGGGUUUCUUGUCAGUGUGGUGUGUGUUGAGUCUUGCUUUUGUAUAGUAGUGAUAUCGUAUCUCAGUUCGUGCAUUCUAGUGCAUUAUAGGGUUAUUGGUCAGAUUUGUUCUUGUGUCUUGUCUCCAACUUGUUGUUGGCGAUGGAUCAGUGGGUACCUUACCUUUCUUUCGAUAAUUACGUUGGCUGCAGACAACGUAGUGUUGAAAGUUAGGAUAAGAUACCCUAUCCCUUUUGGGGAAUAUCUGGAUUGGGUCGAUAUUUCUUUUCUCUUGUAUAAGAGGUGUUAGUCUUCUUUGAUCAUCUAGUGAGCCUGGUGUUUGGCUCUGAUGUAGCAGCUUGCAUUGUUGUACGAGGUAUACGUUUUGAUUUUUGGGGAUACCUUGGAAUGGAUUGGGUUGCUGCUCGGUCACUUGUUGGAGUCUCGAUGAGACGGGCAUCUAGUGUUGCUCAGGACGUCGAUCGCUAGGGUCCCUUGGGGACGGCAGCGAUAGGGUCUCGUAGAGACAGAUGUGGAGCAUCACUAGUUGUUUCGAUCGCUUGUUGCGAGUGGCAACUCUGUUCACCUAGUGACGGACAUGCUUUGGUUGUAUGUUUGAGUGUUGAGCAGGCUAAAUUGUUGGCUCAACUGGUACUUGCAGCCUUAAACCUUUUUGGUCUAGGCAAAUGGUUAGGUCUUGGACCUAAGAGAGUUGGGUGCCAUCGAUGGGUUCCGAUGGUUAAGUUCUGGCUUUGUCGGGUUAUAGUUCGGUUUAUUGGGAGGUUGUAGCCUCCGAGGUGAGUGUUGUUUCUCUGGCGUAGGAUCACCCCUGCCUGUGAACAAGUUUCGGGGACGAAACUUCCUUUAAGGGGGGGAUGAUGUAAGGACUGAGAUUUUUGCAGUGUAGCUAAACUCUCAGUUGACGAUGUUUUUGUGUGCAAUUUAAUUACAAAAGCACUCGUCAAGUUUCGGGAGAAAUCGAGUUAAAACGGAGAUUCUACGCGAUUUCCAAGUUUCACUUAAAGUGAAUAGUAACUCGAUUUUUCGAAGAAGCCACGGUGUGAAGUUGGCUUCAGGCUUGUAUCGGACUCCGUUCCUAGCGGUCCAAUAGCUCGUUUCGACCGGUUCAGCUGUUCUGGAACUAAUGGAGCUGACGAAUUUUGAGUUUGACGCACGGAUUUCGAGAAAAUCCAAAAAAAUACAUGUUUUAUAUGUAUUUUUGUGUUAUUCAUUCUGUUGGAAUGAAAGGUUGGAUUUCGUCGCGAAUCCGUGGUCGAUCGAGGUGAACCAAAAUCGUAGCUUUGUUGUCUCCGAGGUGCUGAUCGCAGUGGUGCAAUCCGUUCGCAAAUCUAACGGACGGAUCUACGGAGAUCGCACGUUGAUCGAGGAGAGGUCGGUGUUGGCAAAACGGUAAUUUCGCAAAAGUCGCGAUAUUUUAUGUACCGUUUCGCGUGAGAUCGCACGUGGAGGAGUCUUCAUGCGUUUUACUCAUGCUCUGAGGAACUCAGUAUCAAAUACUGAAGUUUGAGGGGCUUUUCCGCAAUUUGCACCUUAUAUAUAUAUUGUAUCUAGGGUUUUGCAAUGGAAACCCUAACCCUAGACCUUAGCCGCACCCCUGCCACUCAAUCUACCUCCCCUGCCCCUGCUGCGCGCGCCCAGGCCGCCGCCGACUGGGUCCCGGCCGGCCAGCCGCUGCCGGAGCCACCUUCCUUUUCCCUCUCCUUCUCUUUCUCUCUCUCUCUCUCCUCUCGGGUUGUGAGGAAGCCUGAGACUGCCGCCACCUCCAGACCCUCCGCCGAUGUCACCCCGUGCUCCGGCGAGCAUCCCCGCUGACCGCCGCCGUCGCCUAGCGCCGCCGCUGCAGCCCAGGAUGGCCGCUGCUGCCUGGGACAGGGCUCCGNUUGUUGAACCUAGAGUCGGGAUCUAGGUGUGUGGCAUUAACCUAGUGUUAAAGAACAUAGGUUGAGAACUGAACCUAGAGUUAAGGUAAACCUAGGUUGUGACAUCGAGGCAUUAGACCUAGAGUCUGUUGGACCUAGGGUGGAAAGUGCAUUGGACCUAGAUAGGUCAAUAGUAUAGGGUUGGAUAUGGACCCUUGACUUGUGAAGUCGAUUCCGGAAUCCCAGUACUUGUGAACUCAAUAGUUCUUGGACCGCGGGUGUAUGCGGCGAUGUUCCUCUCCCACCGGAAAGAACUUUGAGGAUUAUGACUAAGCAAGAACAAAGAGCGCUAGGGUGUACGGCAUGUUCCUCUCCCUAUCGGGGAUCUUGGCUAUGGGUGUACGCGGCUAUGUUUCCUCUCCCACUAACGGAUCCCUGACCACGGUGCACGGACCUUCGGGCGGACCGUUGGGCGAUGUGGUUCUUGGCUUGCAGGCUGAGGUGCAUGCGACAGGAUCCUUCACCUCGAGCCGGGCAGAGCGCGGAUUAUCCGCUGUUGAUUGACUCGAGGCCGAGUCGGGUGGCUAGCUGGAAUAAGGUAGAUAGAACCUUGAGGGCUAGUGGUAAAUGUGAUAACCUAAGGUAGUAGAAACCUUAGAGUUGGGUGACAUGAGCUAAGAUUAGCGAGAUUGAUUGUAGAAUCAAUAAUUCUACUAGUUGUUGCAUAUAUUCCUGUUGCAUAUAGCAUGACAUCAUUGCAGUUGUGAGGCAAAGCAAGGUAAAGUUAGUUGCAUGUUUAUGAUAUACAUAUCUAUCUGUUUAUUGGACUAACUUGUAUUUGCCUCCCUUGGACCUGUUGGUCGAGCUCCUCCCUUGGGUGGCCGUACCCACUGGGAACCAUGGAGUUGGUUCUCACCCCACGUUGUUUUGGGGUUUUACAGGUUCGCACGUGAGCGGCGCUGCGGCGCGAGGCAAGGGCGUAGCUCCAUAGAUAGCGCCCUACCCCCAGAGACCAGAGCUAGCAGUACCCCGUCGGCGUAACUUAGGGGUAUAGAAAAUGAAAGGAAUAAAAUGUAUUAAACUUGUAAUAACUUAGAUUGUAUUUGGAAGUUGAAUGUAAUAUAUAAAGUGUGAUGUAAGUAAAUGAAUCUAAUGUGAAUGUUGUAAUAACAUAGGAUGUGUUUAUGUUGUUUGAUACUUCCUUACGCAAUCAUGAUUGAUAUCUGUUCCUGAUUGGAACCAUUGUAAUGUACAUUGUUUGGAUUGCGACGCCUAGAACGUACAGGGGAGACUCUGUCCGCGUACAGGGGAAACCCCGGUCCGUUCGGCGGUCUGUCGGCGUGCCCGAACCGGACCAAAUUGGGAGCGGUCUCGGGGCGUGACAGUUCCGAUGCCUCCGGAGGUGAGCACGGUGACCGCUGGUCAGUGCUGAUCACAGUGCUCACCUUUUUUUGGAUCAGCAGUGCCCGGUUAGUCCUGUUCGGUGCGUUUUUCCGUGGUUGCGCGCUGUUCGCUGAACCUUCGGGUUGCUACCGCGCUUCCCACAGCGAGCCGUUAUGCUCCGGAUCGUGAGCAUGACCUCCGGUACGUCGAGAUCUAUCAGUACGUGUCUCUGUGGACCUUGGGAGUCCUCGGUUUACGUGAACGAGCCACUUGAUCGCUCAAUUUACAUAAAAUAAUAGGAUUUUAUGUAAAUUGAGGGUCUUUUAUGCAUUUGUGCUCCUUGUGCCUACUGUGGACAGUGUGUAUGAGUGUGUUUGACCUCUGGACUGAUUGCCCAUGACCCGUUAGCUUUUGCGGAAAUCGAAGAGUCGAUUUCGGUGCGUUUUUCGGCGAAAUUCGCCGAAAGAACGCGGUUUCGGUUCGGAUUUCUUCCGACGUGGUUUGGUUGUCUUGUGUGUGGUUGCUGAGCCUUGUUGGCUAGUCACCAUCAUUAUUUUGUGGGUUCGGUGAUGAUGGGUGAGCGACAGUGGGUUCCGGUGUCGAAAUAGACACUUUCGGGAACUCGGAUUCGUAUAAUUAUCCGCCAAUAAUUGUGUAGUGGUGUUAUCUUGUGUUUGCUGCCUAAACAUCCAAAUUGGAGUGUUUUGGGGCAGCAGGCGACUCGUGACACGAGUCGGUGAGUUUCGGGACACUUAGUGGGUCCCGACGGCGUCCGUCUUGCUCUCUCCGCGCGCAGCUCGCCCAGCGCACCGCACGCCAGCCGCCGGCGGCUGGCCUGCUCCUCCCCGCUCUCCCUUGUUUCCUUUGCUUACCGCCGCCUUCCCACCACUUGUGCUGCUCCGCGGCGUGAACCCACCCCCUCGCCCCCCCCCUCGGCGAGCCCCUCUGACCACCCUCAUCGCCGUCGCGGGCCGCGCCGUCCCGGCCGCCCCCGCGCGCGAACCCGCUGGCGCGUGCGGCCCGCUUGCGCCGACUGGGCCGCGGUGGUUGGGCUCUCCUCCUCCCUCGCCCUGCUGCCCCUCCGCUUGCCGCGCCCACUCGCUGGCCCUCCCGCGUCGCCCUCGCCGUCGGCCGUCCGGUGUCGGCCCCCCGCCGCCGCGGCGCUGGCCCGGGCUCCCGCGCCCCCAUCGUCCCCCCGCCCGCGCACGUGGCUCGCGGCACGAGCGCCGCCGCCCUCCCGCUCCGCUUGCGGCCGCCUUCCCUCCGGCCGUCGGCCCCCCCCCCACGUCGUCCGCCUGGUCCGACCCGCCGCCCCUCCCGGCCGACGCCGCGCCGUCUUGUCGCCUUCCGCCCGGUGGGCUUUGUGCGACGGCCCUCCCGCCCCGGCGCCGCCGGCCUCCGCGUGCGCACCGCCUCCGCCUGGCCGCCGCCCCCUCCCCCGCCGGCUACCCCGCUGCCGCGUCUCCUGUCCCCCGUGUGCGCCCCUGCUCUCCUCGGGUGUGUGCAACUCGGGCCUCGUUGCCCGCCGUCGCGCCGCCUCCCUGCGCCUGUUGACUGGAGCGCCCGCCCUCCCUUGCCCUGGAGCACCUUUCCCUUGGCCGGCCUGCCGCCGUCACCCGCCGCCUGCACGCAGACUCCCCGAGCCCUGCUUCGCUCCGGUACGUCGUUGUAAUUGCUAUUCUUGUGCGGUUUGGGCUUGUGUCUCGUGUCGCGGCGACGCAGAGGACUGUUCCGAUGCCUUCCGCCGGGAGCACGGUAUCAUCUCAGAUCAGUGCUGAUUCACAGUUCUCACCUCAAUUAAGUGGUCAGAGAGCCCCUGGUUAGCGAGAUAAGCAUGGCUUUCAUGCUGUUGCGCGCUGUCGCAGACCUUUCGCGUCACCCCCGACUCUCUACAGUGGCCAAAUUGCUUACGAAAGGUGAGCACGGCCUUGCCGGCACGUCCGAACUGUCAGUCGGGUAUCGGUUGCUCGCUUGAUUGACCUCUGGUUUCAUGGCACGGCCAUAAAAGCGGCCGAAAUCGGAUGAAAUAAUCGAUUUUCGAGUAUGUCGAAAGGGUUUUAAUGCAACUUUUGUUCGUCGGCGCUGCUGUUGGUAGCGAUGGAUAGUUUGUGGGUACCUCUGGACUGAUUGUCCAAGGCCCCUGGACCAAUUGCGAAGAAUCGAAAGGGCAAUCCGGUGCGUUUGGUCGGCCAAAAUUCGCCGACGGAACGCGGUUUCGGGUUCGGAUUAUUCCGACCAGGUGUCUCGGGAUAUUGUAUUUGUGUCGGCUGAGCCUAGUUGGCUGUCACCGACCGUGUAUUUCGAGGGUUCCGAAAGUGACGAUUGAAGCGACACGGUGGGUCCGGUUAGGGGUGUAAUGUGGGCCGUGCCGGGCCGGCACGCCCUACAUUUUUCGGCGCGAAACGGCUAUGCUGGCACGGCCCGCCCGCCUUCAAUUUCGGGCCUGGCCGUGCCGGCCCAAACGCCUAGCCCCUGGCCCGGAGGCACGGGCCGGCCGGGCGGGCCAGGCUUCGGCCGGCCUAUUAAAAAGUUUGUUUUUAAAAUUAUUUUAAAUUUUAUUUAAAUUUGAAUUAAAUUAUUUAAAAAUUUAUAAAAAUAAUUAAAAGUAGUAAAUAUUUAUUAUUUAUUUUUUAAAAAAAUAAAUUUGUAUUAUUUUUUAAAAAAAAAAAAAUUAACUGGAGGCCGCGGCGUUUUCCGAGGGCCUUGGAUUCCGGGGAGAGGGGUGUCUACGGUGGGAGGGGAUCUCGGAAGAGGUGGCCGGAGAGGGGUCGGGCGGAGCCGGGAGGAAGGAGGCGGGACGGAGGGGGAGAAACGCCGGGACGGGUGGGGCUUGGAUGGGGGCCGGUGCCGGAGCUGGGGCGACAAGGGUGCGUCCGGGGCCCGUGGGCGGAGCUGAGCUCGGAGGUGGCCAUGCGCCUCUCCUCCAAGGGUUGACCCUGGAGGCAGAUUCCUGGGGAGGAGGAUGGACUUGCUUCUCUUCCUUCCUCCCAGGAGCUUAGCCUCAAGGCGCAAAGCAUUUGCCUCGCCUUGAGGGCCCGCCGGCUGGGCUCGGCUGCACGGCCCAAACGGGCCGUGCCUGCCGCGCCGCCCGCGCUUCCCAACUCGCGCCGCGCUAUGGCCAGGCCCGUAUGGAGCCGUUGCCCGUGCGGCGUCGGGCUACAUAUACGCCCAGAACCGACCCGAAGUGCUCGGCCGGGCCGGCCCGGAUCGGAUCUACAGAAGAUCCCGUGCGUGCUUAGCCCGGCCGAGCCGCCGGGCCGGCGGCCGCACGCGUGCCGCCUGGCCCGUUUUAACACGGCCCAGUUUCCGGUGUCCGAAAUAGACACUUCCGGGAACCCGGUGUCGGAACGAUUUAUCCACGAUAAUCGUUUUGGAGUGAGUAAGUCUUUGCUUGCCAAUCACAUGUAAUUGUAUUUAGUGGCACGGGUGACUCGUAGACGAGUCGGCUGAAGUUCCGGGACAGUCGUGCGGUCCAGCAGAGUCUCGGCGGUUUUGGGACUUCCGUUUUGUUCGGUAAUCGUUUUGGAAACGAUCUCCGUGGGAAUUUCUUGUGGUUGUGUGUGAUUCAAUGUUUAUUAAUGGGGUAUGCUUUUAGGGUUUCUUAGUUGGUGGGUAGACACUAACCCAUGUGGACGCCUCCUAGGUCUGUUGAUGUUCUUUGUGCAGUCAGGAGAAAGUGCGACAGUUGUACAGGUGUCGUACUGAUCCGACGUCUGGUACACGUGUUGCAGCUCCGGUGAUGGUUUCUUACCCNNNNNNNNNNNNNNNNNNNNNNNNNAGGUGUGGUUUUUUCGGACUUCGGUGAGUUGCGUAAUCGGUAUUGGAAACCGAUCUCCGUGAAAUUGUUUUGGGUUGGUGGAUACUGUGGUUAUUAGUUGUGGGUUAAAGAUACUAAUCUCCAGGUGAUCGCCUUAUAAAGGUCCCUGUCGACAUUCUUUUGCAGUCAGGCGACAGACGCGUGAACAUCUUUUAAGUGGUGGUUUACUUCGAUCCGAAUGUCGGUACAGUGGUGCACGCUUCGGUGAUGGUUUUUACACCUUACUCUAUGUUGUUACUAUUCGCAUAGAAAUAUUUGAGCCUUACAACCGUGAUUGUUUAUUCGUUAUAACACUACCUCGUUGUUUGCAAUAACUUAGUAUCCUGAGGUAGGAGUUAGAGCAGUUCUAUCUAUAAUGCUAUGCGGCACUAGUUUGUCUGUUGUUGCAUUCAUAUCUGUUGACUUAGUUGGUCCGGUUGUUGCAUUCCUACUGUGACCUGGUUGGUCGUUCCUCGAGUACUCGUUUCGAUGACGCUGAUUGGUCGGUUCUCGUACAGGUCGUUCGUGACGGCCAUUGAGGUCGUAAACCUAAGGUGGGAUUUGUCGUUAGGCACCGACCGAAUGGAUUAUCAGUUACACAGUUCCACUAAUUGUGGCUAAUUUUGUGACCUAGUGCAUCAGCUUCGUGAGUCCUGCUGUUUGAUGGCCUAUGAGGCGUGUACCUGAGGGGUGGAUGUCGCUAAGUGCCGACGGUAAUGUCGGAUUAUUUGAUAAUAUCUGGUGACACUAUUCAUUCGGUUCGUCGUGCAUUAUAUGUAGUUGACAUUAUAGUCAGUGCUUGUAACUCUUCGGUAGGAUGUUAGUGGUUCCCUCUCAGUUUGCCUGAGUAUCGUUCUUUGUGCUUCUAUAUAGUUUGAUGACCCUACUGGUCGUUUGCCCCGCAGGGGCGGUUGAUUGUCGCCUGGUUGCCGACGUUGGCUAUUGAAUAUCUUCAUUGAUUGCGCACAUGCUCGAAGUGCAUUUCACGGACACCGGCGUCUGAUCCAACGCAGCAUGGGGUGUUCUUUUUCGGAAAAGUGGUCGUACAUUCCGACCCGUGAAGCGCAGCGGUGUAUCUCUUAUGCUAGGUUUACAUUGACAGUGGCGCAGCCAGGUUGUGGCUUUGCUGAGGUCCUUCCAGACCGCACGGCGGUUUUACGAUUGGGUACUGUGACUAAACUUGUCCGUGUUGUAUAAGCUACGUAAGUGGUUGAUGCAUAAACAGCCUUGUAGUUCUUUCGUACAUUGUCUUGCUACUAUAAGUCUUAUAAUCAUUAUACACUCAUUGUUCAUUGCAUUACGUAUCCGUAUACUUUCUUUCCAAUAUAUAUGUCUCUUUCAUUCAUAAUUAUUCUACUGACUCUGUAUUUUCUACUGACCGUACUGUUGUUUAGCUCUUCAUGAUCCCGGUGAUACUCCUCGCCUUCAUCGGCUUGCGGUACCUCACUUUUUUGGGGAAGGGGAUAACAUGUUUACUGUUUCUCACCUCCCCCACUAUUUUUCAGGUAUUGCAGGCGAUGAGUUUGGGACGAAACUGAGGUACGUUGUAGGCGAUCGAAUAGAGUCUUCCGACCCAGGUUAUCGAUUUUAAGAUUUUUAUCCUUAUAUUCUGUUGUUAAUAGCUUAGUUAGUUUAUAUGGUCAGUUAGAUGAUCAUACUUGAUGUUGGAAUGUUGUUGACUGGUUGAAUUGUGGAUUUGUGAAUCUGUGGAUUUGUUUUAUGAUCUCAGUUUGUGGAUGUUUGUAUAACUUUGUGGAUCUCGAUUUGUAUUUAGGAUGUACGCAUCCGUGGUUGUCUAACCCCCUCGAAAUAGUCCUAGUUUUCAAAAUAGAAGUUUUCGUGUGAAAAACAUUUUCAAUAGAAUUUGAAAUGAUUUUCAAUGUAAAUGAAUGAUUAGAUUUUAAAUACGAGUGAGCCUAUAAUAGGUUUGUUGACUGUGCAUUGCAUCAUCCCUUAUUUAGUGCUUUCUUGAUUGUUUUUGUAGAAAUGCAUAUCAUGUUUGGUUGCUGAUGAAAAUGUAGGUUGUGUUUGAUCUUGUUUAUCGUUGUACGUCGUGGUUGUCGUGAAGCAGAUGAAACCUUUGUAUUUGUAGGCGGAGCUGUAUUGGGCUUGUCUGGCUCUUUCGCGACUCUGAGAUUUCAAAAAUGGUAUUGGCUUUAAAAUCGGCCCGGGAGCGUGAACAGGUAGUUAAAUACCGCUUCAACCAGCCGGGACGGGUGGUGUUCACAGUCCCUAGUAAAUAUUCGGGCUCGAGUUUGCAUUUUUCUAAAGAUUAGCCUAGUUUGGUUAUUGAUAGUAUAGUGGCAUAUAGCUGUAGGUGUUCCAGCUUCCAUUACUAUCUUCCUCUUACUUCUGUGACUUACGGGCUGAGCCGUUGAGGUCGUAAGUGGUAACCUACUGAGAACUACUUUUUUGCAGUAGUUCUCACACCCAAGUUGCUGACUCUUUUUGCAAGCCUUCUUCUUUCGCGCUGCUAUCUGCGCACGAUGUUCCUGAUACUCCUGAUCGUGGAUAGGGAGUUGUGAGCUAGAUUCCUUCCAAGACGAGUUUACGGAGCUACGAGGAGUACCUCCACAGGUAGUUUUUGGGGUAUUUCUUGGUAACAUAAUGUUGUUGUCCGGGUGCGGCCUCGUGGGCGAGUGUUGUUUAGAUCAUUUUGUAUGUAUUGAACCUCUGCGAUUUUUAUAUAUAUAUGUUUCAUGUUUAACACCCAGCUCAUUACGUUGUGGUUGUUAUUUUGUUUUAUUUACAGAUACACUAUCGCUUCGUAACAGCGGAUUUGUCGCGUGCCUGGAAAAACGUGUAAUCCGCGGGCGUCGACAGUAACUGAUAUAAAUUGUAUACUUACAACGCUAUCCAUCAAAAUGAAUGAGAUUUCUUUUUUUGUGACAGUUCAGAGACGAUAUUCUUGAACUUUCAGAAUAAUUUAAAAUUUUAAUUGCAAGCUGGAGUAAAUAAGCAAAUGCCUCUAAAAAAUAAGUGUGUUUUAGAGCACAACAAAAGCCGUAUAUAUUCCAAAGGAAGCGCGCAUUGAAAUUUAAGACUUCAAACGAGCACUUUAAAAUGUUUAAGGAUCAUUUAAGGACUGAUCUAAGUUUUUAGAGCAAUGGAUUGUUUGGUAUUGACCGCAAUUUUCCAACAUAGUUUUGAUUGAGUCAAACUGUUUGACCAAGUCAAAAUUUCUCAAUUUGCAAAUAUGCUCUUUAACUAUUUCCUGAAUGACGUAUCAGAAAAAUAGGUUGAGGAGGUAUCAGAUCAAUCAGAGAUUCUUCAAAGAAUUAAACAAUUUUGCUAAAAACUAAGAGCGAACUCAAAUAUAAUUUAAUUUAUUGUGACAAGGAAAGUUACAAUAAUGUAUUAUCGAAACUAACCGAGGUCCAUAAAAUUAGAAGCUGAGAAAUUCAGCUCUUGUUUGGGCGCUCGUUUAUCAAAUCUAAGCGAUCAUCGUCGAACUCAUUUCGAUUCGAACACAUUAUAUAACUUUGAACAACAAGGUUGGAUUGCCGGCCCUCAUAAAAUCGAAUGCUUUCGUCAAACAAAAUAAUACCAUAUUCCUAUAUGACAAAAUCAAACUAUUUGGAGGCGGAGAAAGCCAAAAUCUGUUAAAUGCAUUCUAUGAUACAAAUUGUUGUUAAAAUAAUCUUUAAACUAUUUUCACUAGAUCGAUUUUUUUGAUAAAUAUGAUAUCAAGAGACAGCUCAUUUAGUUUGAAUGCAACGUGAAAAUUUGUUCCCAACUGAUUAAUUUUUCAGCAAAAUUAUCAUUAUUGAUAUUAGCUAUACCAUAUAUUAAGCUAAAAAUCACCGUAGUGUUUGUUUCGGGAAGCAAGGGGGGAAUAAGCCCUCAUAUCCCCAGCUUUGUCCCAAAACGGAUGUUUGGUUACCUUGGGAAAGUAGUUCUACAUUGCUCUUUUGUUAUUACCCAUGCAUAUAUUAUAUGUUGAGCUUUGCACCUCUAUUGUUUAUAUUACACCCACGUUGUUUGAUUUUACUCUACUCAGACGUUUCCAUGCUUAGUAUCAUGUGUAGGAGUAUAGUCUAUCUGUAUGUGAUACCAUGUUUCCUUGUUGCUCUACUUAGCUAUUCUCCAUACCCUAAUUCGUGUUUAUAGUAGAGCGAUUCCGUGAUUAUCUGUGAGAUCAGCGAUCUAGUCGGUCGAUUCUAGUAUUCAGUAUUUGUGACCUAUUCAGUGAGUUCCUCGACCUUUGUUGUCUGAUGACCGUUGAGGUCGGUAUACCCUGAGGGGUAGGAUUGUCGGUUAGUUGCCGACGGAUGAUUAUACUUUACUCAUAUUCACUAUUUGACAUGUUUGUGACCUAGUCGGUCAGUGCAUCAUAUCCUAUACUUGUGACAUGAUUGGUCGAGUUUCAUAUCCUAUACUUGUGACAUGAUUGGUCGAGUUUCAUAUCCGAUACUUGUGACAUGAUUGGUCGAGUUUCAUAUCCUAGUUGAUCUGAGUGGUCAGUCCUUGUGGUUCAUUGAGCAGUAUUUUCAUAUGUUUGAGAGGAUGUCGAUGUUGUCCCAUCCUAGUUGACCUGAGUGGUCGGUUAUUGUGCUUCCUUACAGUUGAUGACAUGCGGUCGAUGGGCCGUGGGGGGCAGGAUUGCCGGCUGGUUGCCGACGGUUGAUCAUUGAGCAUAUUGCAUUGAUCGCCCGAUACUCGUCGCAUUUCACGAACACUGGCGGUUUGAUCCACCGCAAGGAGUGUUCUUUUCCGAAAAAGUGGGUGAAUGGUGACAACCCGUGAGCCCUAGAGGGGUUAUAUGCACUGGAGAGUAGUAGUGGCAUUGGCUUGAGGUCUGCGGUGCUGACCAAGAGAGCAUUGGUUUUAGAUUGGGUACUUUUGGACUGAUUGUCCCGUUGACGCAUACGCCUAUAGUAGCAGUUAUUGCAUGCAUACUUACAGUUCUUUCUAUAUACUUGUCUUGCUACUAUAGUUUGAUACCCAGGUAUGUUUUAUAUUCUUCUUACAGUAGCGGUAGUCGUUCUUAUACAUUCUGUUCAUGUAUUAUUAUUGCUACUGUAUUUAGUAUAUCUGCUCAUUACCUUAUACAUCUCUUUCGUUUACUAUUGUUCCUACUGUAUUCCCACUGACCCGUAUUGUUAUAUAGCUCUUCCUGAUCCGGUGAGUACUCCUCGCCUUCUUCGGCUUGCGGUACCCACUGGGAGGGGAGACAUGUUUACAUGUUCUCACCUCCCCCACCAUUUUUUUUUUAGGUAUCGUGGGCGAUGAGUAGUAGGACGAGACGUGAGGUACGUGUGUAGCGGUCGAUAGAGCUUCCGACCCAGGUUAUUUCGGUAUAGUUAUUACCCUUAUUAUUUUAGUUGUUAUAGCUUAAAUAGUUAUAUGGUUCAGUAUUUUUAUUACAUUUGAAAAUAUGGAUUUUCGUGAAUGUAAUAAACGGAUUUCUGGAUUUUGUAAAAUAAAAGGUUUUCUCCCCCUGGUGGUAGCGUUUUUAAAGAAUAAAGGUUUUCGUGUAGGAAACAGUUUUCAAAAGGUUUUCUGUGGAUUUUGCAUCUUAGUAUUUCAAAACCUGUUUCUGUGGUUGGAAACAUUUUAACUGAUAGGUGUGGAUUUAUGCAUAAAUGUGAAUCUAUGGUGAAUGGUGUAUGAAUAUAUAUAACGGUUGGUUAUUUGUAUGUUCAUUUGUUGUGGUUGUGCCUGGAUGACUUCUUGUACUUGUGCGACGCCGUACAAAUACAAGGGAGACUCUGUCCGUGUGAACAGUGGAUUUCCUGUAUUUGUGGCAGAUCUGGCAUACUCUCGGGUCAGGUUUUCAAAAAAAUUCAGACGCUUUUCCGCUUUGUUUUAAACUGAAAAGGGACCCCGGGGCGUGACAGCUAUACUCAUAAAAGUAUAGUAGCCCUAGCCUAUAUAUAUAUAUAUAUAUAUAUAUAUAUAUAUAUAUAUAUAUAUAUAUAUAGCUAGACUACUAUACUAUCUAUAGUACCGAGCUCCGGUACUAUAGUGUUGAUUUUCGAUCUUAGGGCGUUUAAAUCAAUGAUCCACACCGUUAAAAUUGAUCUAGGGUAUUUAAAGUUUCUAGAAAUAAAAUUUUAUAUUUUUUCGACAUAGUUUACUUUAUGAUCAAACUAUUUCAAAAUUAUCAAUUUUCAAUGGCAAUUAUGAGGAGUUUGGAGUUUAACGGUGUAGAAAAAUCUAAAUUUCUUCAAAUUUUGAUAGAAAAUACUUUAAACUAUGUAGAUUAAGGUUAACAUUCUUGAUCUUGAAUUUAAAAGUCCUAUGCUCAAAUUUUAAAGAUUAUUCAAUUUCCACCGUCUAUUUUGAUAUAAUUUAUAUACUAAGUAAAUGAUAUCGAAAAAAACUAAAAUUUUAUUUCUAAGAAAUUCAUAUACCCUAGAUCAUAUUUAACGGUAUGGAUCGUUGAUUUGAAUGCCCUAAGAUCGAAAACAAACACUAUAGUACCGGAGCUCGGUACUAUAGAUAGUGUAGUAGCCUAAUUCUAUAUAUAUAUAUAUAUAUAUAUAUAUAUAUAUAUAUAUAUAACUGGUAUAUCCAAUUUUUCUACUGCGUGCCGAUACUCGGUUUCCAGUAUCGGUACUCAAUACAAAUUCAGUACCGGUACUCAUUUUUUAUUCCUCAAAAUCCGAGAGCUCGAAUUCCUUAUUUUGUAUUGCGUACCGAUACUCAGAUUCUAGUACCGGUACUUAAUACAAAAUCUACAACUUAGGCAAAUUUCAGCUUUCGGAGCACGUU